rnacentral:rRNA from 1 species
AUUGAACGCUGGCGGAAUGCUUUACACAUGCAAGUCGAACGGCAGCACGGACUUCGGUCUGGUGCCGAGUGGGAAACGGGGAAGAAAUGAACCGGACGGGGCCCAGCCGGGGGGGUUAAGGAGGUGAAAAUAACGUAAUUACGGAAUACGAUCUAGGGAUGAAACCGGGGGAUCGAAGGACCUGGCGCGAUUGGAGCGGCCGAUAUCAGAUAAGGUAGUUGGUGGGGUAAAGGCCAACCAAGACAACGAUCUGUAGCUGGUCUGAGAGGACGACCAGCCACACUGGAACUGAGUCACGGUCCAGACUCCUACGGGAGGCAGCAAUGGGGAAUUUUGGACAAUGGGCGAAAGCCUGAUCCAGCCAUUCCGCGUGCAGGAUGAAGGCCCUCGGGUUGUAAACUGCUUUUGUACAGAACGAAAAGGUUUCUACUAAUACUAGGAGCUCAUGACGGUACUGUAAGAAUAAGCACCGGCUAACUACGUGCCAGCCGCCGCCGUAA